AGAGUUUGAUCCUGGCUCAGAUUGAACGCUGGCGGCAGGCUUAACACAUGCAAGUCGAGCGGGGAAAGGUAGCUUGCUACCUGACCUAGCGGCGGACGGGUGAGUAAUGCUUAGGAAUCUGCCUAUUAGUGGGGGACAACAUUCCGAAAGGAAUGCUAAUACCGCAUACGCCCUACGGGGGAAAGCAGGGGAUCUUCGGACCUUGCGCUAAUAGAUGAGCCUAAGUCAGAUUAGCUAGUUGGUAGGGUAAAGGCCUACCAAGGCGACGAUCUGUAGCGGGUCUGAGAGGAUGAUCCGCCACACUGGGACUGAGACACGGCCCAGACUCCUACGGGAGGCAGCAGUGGGGAAUAUUGGACAAUGGGCGAAAGCCUGAUCCAGCCAUGCCGCGUGUGUGAAG
rnacentral:rRNA from 1 species